GACGAACGCUGGCGGCGUGCUUAACACAUGCAAGUCGAACGGAAAGGCCCUGCUGUUGUGGGGUGCUCGAGUGGCGAACGGGUGAGUAACACAUGAGUAACCUGCCCUUGACUCUGGGGUGACUUCAGGAAACUGGGGCUAAUACCGGAUAGGAGCUCCUGCUGCAUGGAGGGGGGUGGAAAGUUUCGGCGGGUGGGGAUGGACUCGCGGCUUAUCAGCUUGUUGGUGGGGUAGUGGCUUACCAAGGCUUUGACGGGUAGCCGGCCUGAGAGGGUGACCGGCCACAUUGGGACUGAGAGACGGCGCAGACUCCUACGGGAGGCAGCAGUGGGGAAUAUUGCACAAUGGGCGGAAGCCUGAUGCAGCAACGCCGCGUGCGGGAUGACGGCCUUCGGGUUGUAAACCGCUUUCGCCUGUGACGAAGCGUGAGUGACGGUAAUGGGUAAAGAAGCACCGGCUAACUACGUG
rnacentral:rRNA from 1 species